GUGAUGUGUGGGGCCCAGAAGUGACGUCGCAUGAGUGUAUCCUGCACAAAGGGAGAGCACAGCAAGUGGGCAUCCGUCCAUGAGCCCAGGAAAAAGGACUCCAGAGAAAAGAGAUCUAACUGCACCCAGCCUCAGACUUCCCAGUUUCCAAUAAAUUGCUGUUGUGUAAGUC